rnacentral:rRNA from 1 species
CCUACGGGUGGCAGCAGUGAGGAAUAUUGGUCAAUGGACGAGAGUCUGAACCAGCCAAGUAGCGUGAAGGAUGACUGCCCUAUGGGUUGUAAACUUCUUUUAUAUGGGAAUAAAAUGUUCCACGUGUGGGAUUUUGUAUGUACCAUAUGAAUAAGGAUCGGCUAACUCCGUGCCAGCAGCCGCGGUAAUACGGAGGAUCCGAGCGUUAUCCGGAUUUAUUGGGUUUAAAGGGAGCGUAGGUGGAUUGUUAAGUCAGUUGUGAAAGUUUGCGGCUCAACCGUAAAAUUGCAGUUGAUACUGGCAGUCUUGAGUACAGUAGAGGUGGGCGGAAUUCGUGGUGUAGCGGUGAAAUGCUUAGAUAUCACGAAGAACUCCGAUUGCGAAGGCAGUUCACUGAACUGCAACUGACACUGAGGCUCGAAAGUGUGGGUAUCAAACAGGAUUAGAUACCCUGGUAGUC